rnacentral:rRNA from 1 species
GGACAGAAAGACCCUAUGAAGCUUUACUGUAACUUGAAAUUGAAAUUGGACUUUAUUCGCGCAGUAUAGGUGGGAGGCAUUGAAAAUAAUCUUGCGGGAAUAUUGGAGCCAUCAGUGAGAUACCACUCUUGUAAUGUUAGAUUUCUAACUUUGAAUCAUUAUCUGGUCAAAGAACAGUUUCAGGCGGGCAGUUUGACUGGGGCGGUAG